GACGAACGCUGGCGGCGUGCUUAACACAUGCAAGUCGAACGGAAAGGCCUCUUUCGGGGGGUACUCGAGUGGCGAACGGGUGAGUAACACGUGAGUAACCUGCCCUUGACUUUGGGAUAACUUCAGGAAACUGGGGCUAAUACCGGAUAGGAGCUCCUGCUGCAUGGUGGGGGUUGGAAAGUUUCGGCGGUUGGGGAUGGACUCGCGGCUUAUCAGCUUGUUGGUGGGGUAGUGGCUUACCAAGGCUUUGACGGGUAGCCGGCCUGAGAGGGUGACCGGCCACAUUGGGACUGAGAGACGGCCCAGACUCCUACGGGAGGCAGCAGGGGGGAAUAUUGCACAAUGGGUGGAAGCCUGAUGCAGCAACGCCGUGUGCGGGAUGACGGCCUUCGGGUUGUAAACCGCUUUCGCUCAUGACGAAGCUUUGUGUGACGGUAGUGGGUAAAGAAGCACCGGCUAACUACGUG
rnacentral:rRNA from 1 species